UACUAGAGGCCCAAACGUUAUUCGGAUUUACUGGGCUUAAAGAGUUCGUAGGCGGUGCAGAAAGUGGGGUGUGAAAGCCCUCGGCUCAACCGAGGAAUUGCGCUCCAAACUACUGUGCUAGAGGAAGCUAGAGGUGAGCAGAACAGAUGGUGGAGCGGUGAAAUGCGUAGAUAUCUGGAGGAACACCGGUGGCGAAGGCGGCGUUCUGGACUGCAACUGACACUGAGGAACGAAAGCCAGGGGAGCAAACGGG
rnacentral:rRNA from 1 species